rnacentral:rRNA from 1 species
UACAGGGGGCGCGAGCGUUGCUCGGAAUCACUGGGCGUAAAGCGUACGCAGGCGGAUCGAUAAGUCCGUUGUGAAAUCCCGGGGCUCAACCCCGGAAAUGCGAUGGAGACUGCCGAUCUUGAGUACGGGAGAGGGGAGCGGAAUUCCUGGUGUAGAGGUGAAAUUCGUAGAUAUCAGGAGGAACACCGGUGGCGAAAGCGGCUCCCUGGCCCGAUACUGACGCUCAUGUACGAAAGCGUGGGGAGCAAACAGG